GGACCAGGAUUAGAUACCCUGUUACUUUCGGUGUUAAGUAUAAAUUUAUUUUGCUGGGCAACUACGCCUUAACGGGUAAAAGUCGAAGUGCUUGGCGGUUCAGGAUACCCACCCCGUGAGACUUGACGGUUAAUCCGAUGAUCCGCGUUACACCGUACUUACCCUUAAGCUGGUGUAUGGUCGUCGUAAGCUUUAACUGUAAGGUGUAUGGCCAGAGUCUUAAUGUUGGAAUGAAGUCAGAUCGUUAUGCUGCAAUCGGGUAAGGCUUAGUUGAGUCACAUUUAUUAGAUUUCGGAACGUUUAUAAGAAAUGAUAGCGGGAAGAAGGAAUGGGAAGUAAUAAGAAAAUAGUACGUUCUUAUGAAUGGGGAACUUCUGAGUGUACAAAUCGCCCGUCGUUUCCGGGGAGACUUGGAAU
rnacentral:rRNA from 1 species